rnacentral:rRNA from 1 species
AGAGUUUGAUUCUGGCUCAGAACGAACGCUGGCGGCGUGGAUAAGACAUGCAAGUCGAACGAGAGAAUUGCUAGCUUGCUAAUAAUUCUCUAGUGGCGCACGGGUGAGUAACACGUGAGUAACCUGCCCCCGAGAGCGGGAUAGCCCUGGGAAACUGGGAUUAAUACCGCAUAGUAUCGAAAGAUUAAAGCAGCAAUGCGCUUGGGGAUGGGCUCGCGGCCUAUUAGUUAGUUGGUGAGGUAACGGCUCACCAAGGCGAUGACGGGUAGCCGGUCUGAGAGGAUGUCCGGCCACACUGGAACUGAGACACGGUCCAGACACCUACGGGUGGCAGCAGUCGAGAAUCAUUCACAAUGGGGGAAACCCUGAUGGUGCGACGCCGCGUGGGGGAAUGAAGGUCUUCGGAUUGUAAACCCCUGUCAUGUGGGAGCAAAUUAAAAAGAUAGUACCACAAGAGGAAGAGACGGCUAACUCUGUGCCAGCAGCCGCGGUAAUACAGAGGUCUCAAGCGUUGUUCGGAAUCACUGGGCGUAAAGCGUGCGUAGGCUGUUUCGUAAGUCGUGUGUGAAAGGCGCGGGCUCAACCCGCGGACGGCACAUGAUACUGCGAGACUAGAGUAAUGGAGGGGGAACCGGAAUUCUCGGUGUAGCAGUGAAAUGCGUAGAUAUCGAGAGGAACACUCGUGGCGAAGGCGGGUUCCUGGACAUUAACUGACGCUGAGGCACGAAGGCCAGGGGAGCGAAAGGGAUUAGAUACCCCUGUAGUCCUGGCAGUAAACGGUGCACGCUUGGUGUGCGGGGAAUCGACCCCCUGCGUGCCGGAGCUAACGCGUUAAGCGUGCCGCCUGGGGAGUACGGUCGCAAGAUUAAAACUCAAAGAAAUUGACGGGGGCCCGCACAAGCGGUGGAGUAUGUGGUUUAAUUCGAUGCAACGCGAAGAACCUUACCUGGGCUUGACAUGUAAUGAACAACAUGUGAAAGCAUGCGACUCUUCGGAGGCGUUACACAGGUGCUGCAUGGCCGUCGUCAGCUCGUGUCGUGAGAUGUUUGGUUAAGUCCAGCAACGAGCGCAACCCCUGUUGCCAGUUACCAGCACGUGAAGGUGGGGACUCUGGCGAGACUGCCCAGAUCAACUGGGAGGAAGGUGGGGACGACGUCAGGUCAGUAUGGCCCUUAUGCCCAGGGCUGCACACGUACUACAAUGCCCAGUACAGAGGGGGCCGAAGCCGCGAGGCGGAGGAAAUCCUGAAAACUGGGCCCAGUUCGGACUGUAGGCUGCAACCCGCCUACACGAAGCCGGAAUCGCUAGUAAUGGCGCAUCAGCUACGGCGCCGUGAAUACGUUCCCGGGUCUUGUACACACCGCCCGUCACAUCAUGGAAGCCGGUCGCACCCGAAGUAUCUGAAGCCAACCGCAAGGAGGCAGGGUCCUAAGGUGAGACUGGUAACUGGGAUGAAGUCGUAACAAGGUAGCCGUAGGGGAACCUGCGG